CCUACGGGAGGCAGCAGUAGGGAAUCUUCGGCAAUGGGGGCAACCCUGACCGAGCAACGCCGCGUGAGUGAAGAAGGUUUUCGGAUCGUAAAGCUCUGUUGUAAGUCAAGAACGAGUGUGAGAGUGGAAAGUUCACACUGUGACGGUAGCUUACCAGAAAGGGACGGCUAACUACGUGCCAGCAGCCGCGGUAAU
rnacentral:rRNA from 1 species